CGAGCCGGCCGGGCGGCCGCGUCGGGAUCCUCGGAUCCCGCCGAGGAACGUCCGGGCUCCACAGAGCAGGAUGGUGGGUAACGCCCACCCGGGGUGACCCGCGGGACAGUGCCACAGAAAACAGACCGCCGGGGCCGCAAGGCUCCCGGUAAGGGUGAAACGGUGGUGUAAGAGACCACCAGCGCUCAGGGUGACCUGAGCGGCUCGGUAAACCCCAUCCGGAGCAAGGUCAAGAGGGGCCGUGGGCAACCGCGGCUCUGCGCGAAUGCCAGAGGGCUGCUCGCCCGAGUUCGCGGGUGGACCGCACGAGGCAGGUGGCAACGCCUGCCCUAGAUGGAUGGCCGCCUCCCCGAGCGCCGCAAGGCCGAGGGAGACAGAACCCGGCGUACAGGCCGACUCGUCCA
rnacentral:RNase_P_RNA from 1 species